GCGGGGCCACGGCGGGCGGCGAGGCUGGGUCCCGGCCGCCCGUCCCGGGGCUCGCAGCCCGCGGCCCGUAUUGGCAGGAAACAGACCAGAGGCCGGAGAAAGGAAAGGGCAGCCUUACCUGGCGGCCGGGCGGCAGCGGCGGGAGCAGACGCGGCAGCAGAUGCAAGGAGCCAGCUCGCCCGGAGCUGCAAGGGGUCUCGGUCUCCAGACGCUGCCUCCGCUGCUACUUGGCGGCUAACCUUGGCCAAGAGGUUUCCCUGCAAGGGAUGAGCCCUGCGUGUGAUGCUAAAGGAAAACUCUGUUGACCCCUAUCAAACACAUUAUAAGACGAGCUAUAUAAUUAGUAUUGUUGGCAAGAAUUGAGAAAGAAAUAACAAUUGAAGAUGGGAUGGACAGGAUGAGAUUAAUGGAAUCAAUGGGAUUUGGAAUCGAUUGCAAAUUAUGAGAUUUCUUUCUGAGCAAUGGUGUUUGAGGUCAAACAUACAUACCACGAAACCUACAUCAAUUUGGUCAUCAGCCUAUGUAUAUUACUUAUUUGGUCCUGCAACUCAGGCUGACUCUGAAUGAUAACAACUAAACAAUUGCAGGACUCCAGUCUACAGAAACCUACAAAUAGUUGCUGGAGAAGGUCAGAGGGAAGGUGACUUCUGGGUCUGUUGGGAGCUAGACUCCGGCAAUCAACAGUUCCUCACCUCCUCUGUGUGCUUGGAAUGGGUGCUCUGCCCACAGUUCCCACAAUUUUUUAAGAAUGCAGUUCAUCAGUUUUCAAGAACAUGACCUUCGGAGAGCAAGCACGACCUCAAGAGAGUGUGUUAUUGAGACCAUCGGAGGAUGUAUGUGGCUAAAUCCAGUAGCCUCCAUCUACUCUGAUUCUUGUCUUGGACAUGUGACAUGAUAUGGACCAAUGGUUAAGAGCAAAUAUAACACAGAUAAUUGCUUGAAAAAUACUUCCAUGUUGGAGAUUGUUCACUUUUGCUCUUGGGGCCUCUUGCCAACUCUUCCAUGUGAAGAAUAUAUAUAUAUAUUCCGGUAAAUAGAAACCAUAUGAGGAAAACAUAUGCCAUCCUAGCUAAAUCAUCUGAGACCUGCCAUCUGUGACUGAUUCACCAGGAGACCAUAAACUUAUGAGCAAACCUGACCACGAUGAGCAAAGUCUGGCCUAGACUAGAGGGACCAAGAACUACCCCCAGCUUACUCCGGAACAGCGUUCUGACCUACAGAACCAUGAUAUAGAUAAAUAGUUGUUGUUUUAAGCCACUGUAAUAAAAUUAGGCCACUAAGAUUUGUUAUGUAGCAAAUGCUAACAUGAUUUUCUUAUUUUAGGUAAAUAUGUAAGGAUUUUGAAGGUAUUUGCAAAGCAAUGUUCAGUAGCUCGUACAUUUGAGAAAUUGUCAUUAUUGACAUUAUCUAUGUAGUUGGUAACUUGAUUGAUGAUUUUAAUAUUGACUGCAUAGUGUCAAUAUACUAAGAGGAAAAGAUAGCAGUUUUAUUUUAGAACAUUUCAGCUCCUGUAUAAAUAAAACCAACAAUAAUUUCAUAACAAUAACAAGCAAUCAUAAGAUUCCAUGCACAAGCAAAAUUAGCUUGAAGAAGAAUUCCCAUUGGCAGGCUUUAAAUACAUGACCCAAAACAAUAAUGGUGAUAACUAUAUACCACAUUGUUCCUUUUUGUAAGUUUUAAAUAUCAACUUAAUUAUAUUCAGCCCGAAAAUAUAUCAUUAUCAUUUUUAUUUAAUCACAUACUGAUGCACAUAUUGAAAAGGUAAUUAUUACUUGAAUUUUUCCAGCCACUUAGAAUUAUAUAGAAGGGGAAAAAUUGUGUUUUUACAAAGUGAGAGGGAGUGGUAAAGAAUGACAGUGUAUAUUUGGUACACUAGUUAUUUUAGAUGUGUAGAAUUGCAUCAAAACAAAUAAUCUAUUUGUGUAUUAUGAAAUAGCAGCUAUAUUUUUCUCAAGUCUGGUCACGUUCAGUUUACAUUUGUACUUUGGCAAUAAAUCACCUUCUUUAGAAUGUACCUUUUUCUUUCAUUUUCCCACACUAUUUACAUUCACUCAGAAGUGCCUCCUUGACAAUCAUUUUCAAUCUCUUGAAUCUUAGGAUAGAUUAUCCUGAUCAGUUAUUAGCUAUUUGAAAAUACUUGUGGAAUAAAAUAAUUUUAGGAAAAAAAAAUAGCAGAAGAGACAUAAGGAAAGAGAAUAGGAAAAGAACAGAAACUAAAAAUAAAAAGACAUUUUUGGUGGAAUUUUAAUAAGAAAUACAACUGAUUACUAAAUAUCCAUUCUCUUCUAUCAAAGGAAAAAAGGUAAAAUGAAUAGAAUGAUGGGAGAUGUGGGGGAAAAAAAGAGUUUCUGGAAGUAUGUAAUUCAAUGUAGAUGUUAACUUGUUUUUUUUUGUUUGUAUAAUUUAAACAGGUAAUACAGAUAUACAGGGCAUUAUUGAAAAGGCACAAAAUAGUAUACAAGAAAAGGACAUUAUCUCCAACUCUGAAUUCUAAUAUUCAGAUUUAUCUCUCCAAAAGCAACCAGUGUUACUAUCUUUGAUAGUAUUUUUUAUAGAGAUGUCUGAGUUCUCAUAGUUCAGAUUUUUCUCCUUAAGUAUCCAAAGGAUAGCUUUCUGUGCAAAGAACCCAAACUUAUGUUUUUUUCAGUAGGAUUUUGAUGGAACAAAAAUCAUAGGAGUUCUAUGUUUUUGAUCUAAUAGAAAAGAGGAAAAAUGAACUUCUCUAACAUCUUUGAUGUUUAUAAAAUCCAUAUAGCAAGUGUUCCAGAGCCCUACAAGGAAUCUAUAUCUCUCAGGUCAUUCAAUUUUUGACCUCAAGAACUAAAAGAAUCCUAAAAGCUUUCAAAAUAAGCUUCCCCAUGAAGUCAAUUGUAAGACCUUCGGUUUCAUAUGAAUACCUUAAUAGUUUCUUUAGGUUUUGAAGAACAAACAUUGAACAUAAAAUAUCCCAUAUGCUAUUUUAUUGUGAAGCCAUUUUUCAUUUGGCUUGUAUGAAAGUCUACUUUUUUUUAAAUUUAUAGGCAAACUGUUCCAAAUUGUUCUUUCCUCAGAUGUCAAAGAAUCAUACAUUUCUGCCCACUGCAAUAUGACAAGUGGUGCUUCCUGUGGGAUGAAUCUCUUGCCAUGCCAUUGAUAGCAAGCUUGCUCAUGUGAUUCUUCUUGGCCAAUGGGAUUAGAGUAGAAAUUAUGUGUGCUACAUACAAGUAGGAGCUUUUGGGGCCAUCACGUGUUUUUGUCCUUGUUUUUCCCUCUCCUAGUGAGAGUCACAUCACAUGAUCCACAUAGAGCCUGUGAAUUCAGUCUGCUUUCUGGUUUGUAGACACAAAACAGAGUUAAAACUGAUUUAGAGAAAAAAAAACUGAUUUAGAAGUAACAGUGACACUUAACAUGUAAGCCGCUGAAAUGUUGGGACUGCUUUUAAGCAUAACACAAUGUACCAAAAGCUAACUGAUGAAAAUUAGUUAAAAAAAAAUGUGAUUUCUAGAAAAUUGCUUUUGCCUUUUUUAAAUGAUAUUGAUUUUAUGGGUCAGUAUAUAUCAGGAUUAUUUGUUAAUAGUUUUCAAUAUAAACAUAAGUAUGGAAUUUACUUCACCUUAUGUAACCUCACUAAACCAACUACACCAAAAAAAUGUGUGCGUACCUGUGAGUUAUGUUGCAUAGAGAUUGCCGAUAAGUAAUGUUUGCAAGAUAAAUUAGGAAACAUUCUUUAAAAGGGGUAAAUGAUAUCAUUAUGGCAGUCUAAAAGCAUAUCUAUUGUUAAUCAUGUCCUAAACAAGAAAAAAACAAUGUUACUUUAUAUACUUAAAACUACACUUAGAUAAUUGAUUACUCUAAUUCUGGAAUAGAAAUGGGAAUGUUAAAGGUAAUAGUUGACUAUAAACCUGGUUUGACCCACAGUGUUUGUUUUUUUACAUCAUGGUUACACUUAAAAUUUACAUCAGUCUCUGUUCCAAAGUGAAAUCUGGUAAGUUAUGUACUGACACUUAGAAAGAUUCAAAAAUAGUAAAAUAAAUACAUAGCUGCUGUGAAAUGAAAUAAUGGUGACAAGCAGAGGCAAAUAUGAGUCAUUCAAGCCAAUAUUCCCCCCAGUGAUCUAUCUUACUGUUUUCUAUCCAUUUUGAAGGAAAUCUCAUGAAAAUCAUGUAUGCUGAUUAAAUCCAGAAAGUUGUCAAAGUCUCAUUACAUCAUUGUAAAUUUUAUUGGGAAAUAUGAGCUGAGGCUAUCGCUUUUAACUAUCCUUAUAGUUAAAUAAUCAUUUCAAGUGGAGUUUUUGUAUUAAAUAAGUACAAUCUGAGUAUUUAUCAAUAAAUAUUUACUAAGUGCCUGUGUUUGUGUUGGUACAGCUAUGAAAAGUUUGGAGGUACUGAGAUACUGAGAUAUAUUUAGAUGACUCUAGGUGCUGUGAGUGAGGGACAAGUGCAGCAGUUAAUGAAUAUUCAAAUUGUGUGGGGACUGAAAUGAUGGAACAUGUAACAAUGGUAUUGUAAUAGUGUUGUGUGGUGACAAGUGGUAGCUACACUUGUGAACAUAGCAUAAUGUAUAGAGAUGUUGAAUCACAAUAUUGUAUUCCUGAAACUAAUGUAAUAUGGUACAUCAAUUAUACUUCAAUAAUAAUAAUAAUAAUAAUAAUAAUAAUAAUGGUAAUAAUAAUACUACUGUGCAAAUGAAUGCCAGAAACAAUAAUCUUUUUGAGCAAUAGCUAUUUAAUGAGGACUACUUGGAGAAUUUUGUUUCAGAUCUUUAAUUCUUGAAAAUUCUGGAUGUUUCAGUAAAUAUUUCAUGGUGCAUUUGGAUGCAUCAUGAGGUAAAUGAUGCAUCAUUUCAUUGCAUCGUUCACACAUUGUUUUGUUGAUACAUUGUGAUCUGGGACAUUUUAGAAAUGCUGCCUUUAAAGUAUGUGGGCAAACUCUUCAGUGAAAGCAAAAUAUAUUUGAAUUUUAUUUUGGCAAGAGUAUAAUCAGAAAACAAACUCACAAAUCUUGAGUAAAAACCUUAAACUUACCUGGUCUCAGGCUUUCCAUGGGGAAGAUAAACAGUUUUAUUUCAUAAUCCUUCCCAAGUCAAGAAAUUUGUUAUUCUUCGUAUUUAUUCUGAGCACUAUCUGAGCAUAGUAUCAUAGGUUCUACGUGGAAUCAAAGAUUUACAAUCUCUGACCCUAAAGAGUUAGAGCAUGGCUAGGCAAAAACAAAAACCCGUAUACAAGAUAAUGAAUAAUACGUGUUAAAUUGUGUGAAAUGGAACAGACUACCUAGACGUGUCUUUUGUGUCCUGAGAAGGGAAAGAUACAUGUGGGAUAGAAUAAAAGAAUAAAUCACAAUGACAAAAAUUCUCUGCAUUCAUUUUAGGAAGAUAAAAUAAGAAUGGCUAAUGUUUGAACAGUACUCCCUUGGCUGGCAGGAAGCUUUCUCUACUUCCACUCGGGGUUGAUAGCAUACCUGGAAUUUUAAUACAUCACAGCCAAACAGCACUAUUGAUAUUUCUGCUUAAUGAAGUGCCCUUUAUUGAGAAUCCUGCCCCUUGCAGUCUCAGAUAAAAAGAAAGAUAAAUUCAAUUCCUAUAUUUGAAGAACAAGGUUAUUACCUUUUCUUCUAAAAACUUGUUAGGAUAACAUACUGCUCAAUAAGACUAAAAUAAUGAGUUUCUCAUUUUUUCUGUGAUGUGUGAUACCAGUAAUUGUAAACUAUUUUCCUGUUGCAGUUCUUGUCACGACGUAAGAAAAGGGAUUUGGAGGACAUUGAAAAGCCACUGAUUGAUUCUAAUAUGUUGAAUAUAUUAUUAUUUAUAGUACGGAUGAUGGAGAGGAUGCUUCUACUUUUUUUUUUUUUUUUUAAUGUCAGGACUUAGCACAAAAUCUAUAUAGUACCGGGAAAUUAAUUUAGGGUAUUGAUACAUGUUCACCAAAAGGAAAUGAGGAUAUAACUCGCUGUAAAUAUUUUUUUUCAUGUUAAUUUAAUGGCUGAAAGGAAAUUUUAUUUCCUUUAUUUUAAUGUUUAAUUCUGUUCAAUUCUGCUACAUCGCCCAAAGGUCAUUUUUUUUCUCCAUAUGUCAGAAGUAGAACUAAACUUUGGAUUAUCUUAAAUGUUUGCUGUAGAAUUUGGAGAAAGGUGGGCCCCUUAUGCACAGUGUGCAGCUCAGCGUAUGAAUAAUAAACAACAGAGAAGUUUCUUUUCAACAAACGCAGACACGAACAUGGUCAAUACGUUAGAUGUAUGUUGGAGACCUCAACACCUAGAUCAAAAUCAUUUUUAUCUACAAGUUAAUUAGAUGAUACUGAAAAGAGUCAGUGUAUUGCAUAACUUUUUCUUCUUUUUUCACCUUGAUAUGUCUUGGGUGAUAUCCCCAAAUUUAGACGCUUAACUAUCAAAUGUUCUUUUCAGAUCCCAUGCCUUUACCUAGUUUAUGUCCUAUUAGCAAUUCUACUUGCCUCUCUUUAAGCAUAAAUUUCUUGGGCCUAUCCUAUUCUUUUUAAGGAAUUAUUUCUUACUCUAGAUUUUAUAGUUCUCAUUAUUGACCUAAAAUUUACCACUCUUUUAAAUCCUACAAGGUCUAUUUCCUUGUAUCUUUUUUCUUUGUUAUGUCUUAUUUCUUUUAAUUAUACAAAUAAAACAUGAAUCUAUAACCUUAAAAAAUUACAAUCACUUCUGUUUAUUCUAAUUCCCAAAUCCCCUUCACUCCAUUCUUCAGACACCAUCAAUUUUCUGAUCUUUUGAUUGCUUAUUGCCGACCUUUUUUCAAUAUGGACUUAGAAACAAUACACUUCUGACUUCUUCAUUAAGUUUUCCUUAAAUGGUAUCAUAAUAUACAUAUUAUUCUGCAGUGUACUUGCUCACUUGCAAUAUAUUUUCCGUCCUAACAUAGCAGUACAAGUACACUAUCUGUAUAAAUAUUUCUCUAAGAUAUAAACUAGGAAGCAGUCUUUUAAUCAAGUACAAUUUAUGUAUGAAUAAAUGCAGCCCAGUAGCCCUAUAAUGUUGCUUAUAAAUAUACACUGCCACCAGUUAUUUUUUGAGAAUACUCACAUUCUCACCACAUUGUUAAUAUUUGAUAUUAUCAAACAUAGUAACUGUUUUUAUCUAAUAUUUUAAUAGCGCUAUUUGUAUUGUUUUAAUUUGCAUUUCCCCAAAAACAUUUCCUUUUGUU